AAAAAUAUCUCUGGUAAAAGAGUUACUUUGAUUGAGUAAAUAAUAGAGGUUUAAAUCCUUUUAUUUUUA
rfam:Ictidomys tridecemlineatus contig117183, whole genome shotgun sequence.